rnacentral:rRNA from 1 species
UACGUAGGGGGCAAGCGUUAUCCGGAUCUACUGGGUGUAAAGGGAGCGUAGACGGCUUUGCAAGCCAGAUGUGAAAGCCCGGGGCUCAACCUCGGGACUGCAUUUGGAACUGUAUGGCUGGAGUGUCGGAGAGGCAGGCGGAAUUCCUAGUGUAGCGGUGAAAUGCGUAGAUAUUAGGAGGAACACCAGUGGCGAAGGCGGCCUGCUGGACGAUGACUGACGUUGAGGCUCGAAAGCGUGGGGAGCAAACAGG